rnacentral:rRNA from 1 species
UGGGGAAUAUUGGACAAUGGGGGAAACCCUGAUCCAGCGACGCCGCGUGAGUGAAGAAGUAUUUCGGUAUGUAAAGCUCUAUCAGCAGGGAAGAAAAUGACGGUACCUGACUAAGAAGCCCCGGCUAACUACGUGCCAGCAGCCGCGGUAAUACGUAGGGGGCAAGCGUUAUCCGGAUUUACUGGGUGUAAAGGGAGCGUAGACGGUAAUGCAAGUCUGGAGUGAAAUGCAGGGGCUCAACCCCUGAACUGCUUUGGAAACUGUAUGACUGGAGUGCAGGAGAGGUAAGUGGAAUUCCUAGUGUAGCGGUGAAAUGCGUAGAUAUUAGGAGGAACACCAGUGGCGAAGGCGGCUUACUGGACUGUAACUGACGUUGAGGCUCGAAAGCGUGGGGAGCAAACAGG